CUGAGUACUACACUCUCUACCCUUUGUGAACUAUUAUACCUGUUGCUUCGGCGGCGCCCGCAAGGGUGCCCGCCGGUCUCAUCAGAAUCUCUGUUUUCGAACCCGACGAUACUUCUGAGUGUUCUUAGCGAACUGUCAAAACUUUUAACAACGGAUCUCUUGGCUCCAGCAUCGAUGAAGAACGCAGCGAAACGCGAUAUGUAAUGUGAAUUGCAGAAUUCAGUGAAUCAUCGAAUCUUUGAACGCACAUGGCGCCUUCCAGUAUCCUGGGAGGCAUGCCUGUCCGAGCGUCGUUUCAACCCUCGAGCCCCUGUGGCCCGGCGUUGGGGAUCUGCCACGGCAGGCCCCUAAAACCAGUGGCGGACCCGAAGGGCCCUCUCCUUUGCGCAGUAGCAUUCGCCUCGCAUCGGGAGUCCUCGGCGUCCUGCCUCUAAACCCCCCACAAGCCCGCUUCGGCGGCAC
rnacentral:misc_RNA from 3 species